rnacentral:rRNA from 1 species
GACGAACGCUGGCGGCGUGCUUAACACAUGCAAGUCGAACGGAAAGGCCCUGCUUUUGUGGUGUGCUCGAGUGGCGAACGGGUGAGUAACACGUGAGUAACCUGCCCUUGACUUUGGGAUAACUUCAGGAAACUGGGGCUAAUACCGGAUAGGAGAUCCUCUUGCGUGGUGGGGGUUGGAAAGUUUCGGCGGUUGGGGAUGGACUCGCGGCUUAUCAGCUUGUUGGUGGGGUAGUGGCUUACCAAGGCUUUGACGGGUAGCCGGCCUGAGAGGGUGACCGGCCACAUUGGGACUGAGAUACGGCCCAGACUCCUACGGGAGGCAGCAGUGGGGAAUAUUGCACAAUGGGCGGAAGCCUGAUGCAGCAACGCCGCGUGCGGGAUGACGGCCUUCGGGUUGUAAACCGCUUUCGCCUGUGACGAAGCGUGAGUGACGGUAAUGGGUAAAGAAGCACCGGCUAACUACGUG